GACGAACGCUGGCGGCGUGCCUAAUACAUGCAAGUAGAACGCUGAAGCUUGGUGCUUGCACCGAGCGGAUGAGUUGCGAACGGGUGAGUAACGCGUAGGUAACCUGCCUGGUAGCGGGGGAUAACUAUUGGAAACGAUAGCUAAUACCGCAUAACAGUAGAUGUCGCAUGACAUUUGCUUAAAAGGUGCAAUUGCAUCACUACCAGAUGGACCUGCGUUGUAUUAGCUAGUUGGUGAGGUAACGGCUCACCAAGGCGACGAUACAUAGCCGACCUGAGAGGGUGAUCGGCCACACUGGGACUGAGACACGGCCCAGACUCCUACGGGAGGCAGCAGUAGGGAAUCUUCGGCAAUGGACGGAAGUCUGACCGAGCAACGCCGCGUGAGUGAAGAAGGUUUUCGGAUCGUAAAGCUCUGUUGUAAGAGAAGAACGAGUGUGAGAGUGGUAAGUUCACACUGUGACGGUAUCUUACCAGAAAGGGACGGCUAACUACGUGC
rnacentral:rRNA from 1 species